GGUAAUGGGAAGUAAAUGAAAAGAAAGUCAUGAGACUAAUUCUUCAUACUGGAAAAAUACCUGAUGAGUGGCAAAAGAGCACAUUGGUCCCUGUCUUCAAGCUUAAAGGAGAUGUGCCAGAAUGUAGUAAAAUAUUUCGCCUUUUACUGACCCAUCAAGUUAAUGAGUAACAUGUUGAAAUGACUGGAAAGAAUUAUUGAGAAAAGACUUUGAGAGGAGCUGAAAAUCAAGUAUGCCACAACAACCAAUUUGGGUUUAUUCCAGGAAGGUCAGUAAUACAGUGUUUGCAGCCUGAACAUUGCAGGAGAAGUACAGGGAAAAACCACAAGGAAUUGCAAUUAGUGUUUGUGGAUUUGGAGAAGAUUUAGGACAGCGUUCCUAGAUAAACAUAAUGGUGGUGCCUGCAGUCAUGCAACAUGCCAGAGAUAUGUGGUCAAGCUAUCAUGGAGGGACCGUAGUAGUAGUGAGAACCAGCUAGUGGCUACAGUGAGUCACUCACUGUCAGAGUAUGUCUACAUCAACCAUCAGUCUUAAGUUCUUUCCUAUUUGUAGCUGUAAUGGAUACCCUGACUCAGGAGAUUAGGGAAGAGGGUCCAUGAAGCAUGUGUUUCACUGAUGACAUUUUAUGCCAUGAAGAGAAACAGAACCUGGAAAGUAACCUAGAAGAAUGGAGACCUGCAUUAAAAGAAAAUGGCUUACAAAUCACUCAACAAAAGAUGGAAAACAUACAAUGCUUCAGUGAGAGAAAGUGAGUUAAACACAGCUAUUGGGCCAAAAACUUCUGCUGAAAGGACCUACGGGGAUUAAUGUUGACUGAAAAUGAGAAGAUCAACAGCACAUGAAUCUAGGCUGAUGUACGAGUAUUAUGAAAGGGAAUGCUGACAUAACUCUGAAAG